rnacentral:rRNA from 1 species
GAUGAACGCUGGCGGCGUGCCUAAUACAUGCAAGUCGAGCGUGCCUCUUCGGAGGCCAGCGGCGAACGGGUGAGUAACACGUAGGUGAUCUGCCCAAGAGACGGGGAUAACGUUUGGAAACGAACGCUAAUACCGGAUAGGAUGAAAAUUUAAAGAGGACCUCAAGCCUCGCUCUUGGAUGAGCCUGCGGCGCAUUAGCUAGGUGGAGAGGUAACGGCUCCCCAAGGCAACGAUGCGUAGCCGACCUGAGAGGGUGAACGGCCACACUGGGACUGAGACACGGCCCAGACUCCUACGGGAGGCAGCAGUAGGGAAUCUUCGGCAAUGGACGAAAGUCUGACCGAGCAACGCCGCGUGAACGAAGAAGGCUUUCGGGUCGUAAAGUUCUGUUAUCAGGGAAGAACAAUCAGCGGAGGAAAUGCCGGUGAGGUGACGGUACCUGAUGAGAAAGCCACGGCUAACUACGUGCCAGCCGCCGCAGUAA